UACGUAGGGUGCGAGCGUUUGUCCGGAAUUAUUGGGCGUAAAGAGCUUGUAGGCGGUCUGUCGCGUCUGCUGUGAAAAUCCGGGGCUCAACCCCGGACUUGCAGUGGGUACGGGCAGACUAGAGUGUGGUAGGGGAGACUGGAAUUCCUGGUGUAGCGGUGAAAUGCGCAGAUAUCAGGAGGAACACCGAUGGCGAAGGCAGGUCUCUGGGCAUUAACUGACGCUGAGGAGCGAAAAGCAUGGGGAGCGAACAGG
rnacentral:rRNA from 1 species